ensembl:snRNA U6 U6 spliceosomal RNA
GUGCUUGCUUCAGCAGCACAUAUACUAAAAUUGGAAUAAUACAGAGAAGAUUAGCAUGUCCCCUGUGCAAGAAUGACCUGGAAUUCGUGAAGCAUUCCGUAUUUUU